AGCUUUGCGCAGUGGCAGUAUCGUAGCCAAUGAGGUUUAUCCGAGGCGCGAUUAUUGCUAAUUGAAAACUUAAAAAGGGGCAAACAAAGGGCGCCUGGGUGGCUUAGUUAAGUGUCUGACUUUUGAUUUCGGCUCAGGUCA